AUCAUAACCGUCAAUUAAUUAUCACGUAACUAUUGAUUGUUCAACGAAUCGAAAAGAAAAAAUUAAGAAGGUUAAAUUUGUGAAAGGCAGAGUGCUUCGAAACAUCAUAUUAUAGCGGUGCUUUAAGGACGGCAUGCAUACCGCGGUGGUCCGUUCUGUUUGAAGAUGAAUUAAGUAAUAUAAAAAAACUUUCUACUCAAUUUCAUUAAUAAGGUAUUCCAUAAUUGAAAUAAAUAUAUGCGUACAUAUAAUGCGUAAAUAAUAUACAAAUAAAAAUAAAAAAAAAUGAAAUUAAAAAAAUAGAGUGGAAACAUGAAAGAUUUAAUAAAGUUAUCACCCUCGAAAUCACUUGAGAUCUGGCGGAAGAGAAAAUCGAGCUUUUUCCUUUUGAGCUUUAUUACCUUGACGUUGAACGACCGAUUCUCGAUUUUCUCCCUUAAUGAUUGGUUUUGCUCGCUUAAUAAUUCUCGGAUGGUUUUUUAAAAGCUUUCUCCAUCGAUUCAUUAUCGAUUUGCUUCGACAGCAAAUCGCGUGUGUCAAAUGACGCGUUGUCUCCUUCGCCUUCACUGUGCCCGCUCCGCUUCUUAGCUGGUGUUAGCAUAACGUCCUCAGACAUUACGUCUAUUAUAUUAUUACACAGAAGCUUCUAAACACAAAGCAAUUAAAAACAAGCAGAAAAUUGCACACUAAAAGUUUACUUAAUCUAUUGACGCAGAGCAAAGCCACCAGUGUACCACCAUGCACUAAAUAUCUCAAAAGUUUCACAUUUCAUCUUAAUGAAUUUAAAUGCAUUCAUCUUAUAGAAUUAGCUACACGAGUAAAAAUAAAGCCUACAUUUAGCUGAAAUAGAUCGAAAUGAAAAACAAAUGACAAUACAUACAAGGUGGCAAUGUAAAAUAAUACCACUACAUGAUAGAAUCGAAUCUACAUUAUGAAACAUUGGUAAACAUGUCAAAAUUAAGCAGAGUUAAACAUCAAAACAUUAUUAAAGCUUAUUAAACAUCAUUAAGCAUUAUUAAACACUAUGAACUAUGUCAAAAGUAAGCAGAGUUAAAUAUGAAAACUUCAACUGUACAUAUUUUUGGGGCUUCUUCAUUUUAUAAAACUAAAAUGUCAGUUUUGCUUUUUACUUCCUGUGAAAUUUCUGUUAUUACGAAAAACAUUUUUUGUAUUAAAUCAAUAAGAAAAUUUAAACUGAAAAAAUUUAUGUAUUGGAAAUAAAAUAUGAGCAAACAGCUUGACGAUCCUGCCUGUGAACAAAUCAGUGGAAAACAGCAAAUAUGUGUGUAUUCAUCUUCGAAAAUAAUUGAGUGAAACAUAUUUAAAUAUUGCUGAACGGAAAUCAAAUUCAAAAACCAGCAGAAGAAUAGUUAGAUUUAUUUCUAUAUAGUAAACAAGAUUUGAAAAUAACAUAAUCAAUGAUACACAUCGUCAAUUAUUACAAACAGUAACGUGUAAAGGAAGAGGUCGCCUUGUAUCCAGUGGAAAAUAAAGAAAGAACAGCAUUCACCCACACAAACAAAUACAACAAAUUUAGACUGUCUUAAGAGGGACACAUUCCAUCAGCGAGAGUAAGACUGAGGACAGGAGGCAGAAAGCCGUCUGAAUUUUACAGGAUACUCCAACUUCUCUCCGCUUCAAAUCUUUCAGCUGACGUAUUAAAAAAACUCUGGUUUACAAGGUUGCCAAAAAAUUUAAAUGCUAUGUUGGCCAGUUCAGAUCAUUUGCUUACUGAGGGGUUAACAAAGAUUGCCGACAAUAUUUGGGAAGUAAACCAAGAGAAUGAAAUUGCGUCACUUUCACACAACAGCAACAUUCUGCAAACAUUCCAAAACUUUACAACAAUCACAACACUAUGCAAGAAUUUGCACAAGUUACGUUUGCAGCGUAAUGUUUGCUAUAAAGAAACGGAAUAUCUAUAGGGAAUAUCUUAAUCAUAGAUAAUCCCGCGCUCCUUGUAAAAACAUGUCGAUUUAGGUCGUCCUCGCGACAUCUGCUAAGAACAAUCCGGACUUGCUUUGCAAGUACCAUUACCGUUUCGGAAUUGUGAUCGUUUAGAGAUUGUGAAAAACGUUUCAAUCCCGUUGUGUCGACGACGCGCAAGAGGAUUCACCUCUGUUAACGUCAUCUCUUCAUCCGCGAUAAAAAUUGGCAUAUAACAUUUUUUUUUAAUAGCGGUGCGGAAGUUUCCGUACUUCCGGCGAAUAGGUUUGAUUACAACGUGGCGUCUGAUAUUAUUUUAGCUGCAGAUCAUAAAACAAAUAUUAAACAUAACGGGAAAAGUGAUAUAAUAUCUACGUAGAAAUGUACUUUUUAUAUUUAUUAUAGUUGAUAUUCCCAAAGCUAGCAUUGGAGCUGAUUUUUUAGGGAAAUUUGGUCUACUAAUUGAUGUUAAACCAAAACAAUAAGUUGAUCCAUUAAAAAGUUUGUCAAUAAAUGGACUCACUGUUCAAUGCAACAUUCCAUCUUCCAAACUUUUCGGAGUAGAAAAUCUAUGUGCUAGAUUACUCAAAGAAUUUACGAGUUUAACGCAAGAACCUGACUCUUCCAGUCCAACCGACCACACCAUUGUCUACAGAUUGAUAAGUAGAACCCUACGUCCAUUUUCCAAGCCCAGACGUCUUGAUCCUAUUGAAAAUAAUUUAGCCAAGGCCGAAUUCGAGUUUUUAGUCCAAUCCGGUACUUGCAGACUGCCUCAUUCAUCAACAGUCUCGCCUUUACAUCUGGUAGCCAAGAAGAGCCCUAAUGAUUAGCACCCUCGUUGUGAUUACAGACGUCUAAAUGUAAUAACAGUUCCAGAUAAGUGUCCACUUCCAGAUUCCGAUGGUAGGAGGAGAUAUAUUUAAAACGACAAUCAUUACCCCAUAUGGAAUGUAAGAAUUCGUACGUAAGUCUUUUGGACCUAGAAAUUCUUCGCAAACAUUUCAAAGGUUAGUAAAUGAAGUAUUUGAUGGAUUACAUUUCGUAGUUUAGUAGUGACGGAGACGAACAUCUAAAACACCUCAGAAUCGUGCUCGCAAGGUUAGAAAAGCCUACUAAAUGCAUUUUUGGCAUAAGUGACAAAGACUUGCUUGGACACAACAUAUCUGCAACAGGUCUACAUUCGUCUGAAGAGUAAAUCACAGCUAUUCGUAUGUUCGAAAAACCAUAUAUGUAUGAUAAAAUAUGAGGAAAUAGCGACAGUUGGUGACUUAAAGUAUUUAUAAACGUCAGCUUUGCUUCUUCUUUAUUGUCAUAGAUUUUUCUCUAGAUUUUUUAAAAAUAAACGUGAACGAAUGAUUUUUAAUAAUUAAAAAUGAACGGAUAUUGAGUCAACCUUACUGUAGGUGGCAAUAGGCUAUUACCUAGGCGCAGAGUGUCGCAGGAUCUCAAAAAAUUCGAAAGAGUCUGUAUAACACGUUGGAAAAUAUUAGAGAUCGAUUUGGCAAAGAACUAAGACGGGUGCAGGAAAAUCCCACCAAUUGGGAUUUGUUUUCUUAUUUGCUUUUUCUAAAUGACCGUUAUAAACAAGGAUAUUAAACAUUAUCAUGGCAUCUUUCAAAAAUAUACAUGAUAAUAAUUUCACAAGAUCUGGAAUGUACAUCGUUUACACUAUCUGGAAGACAACGGCCUAAACGGUAACCUUGCAGACAAUUCCGGCAAAAAACGUAACCUUCCUGCAAUCAGGGUCCACCAACAAACUCAUCCCACAUUCCGGCUGUGCACACAAAACGCCACCGGCCUACAGCACAUAUUCUUCUGUAGCAAAUGUUGGUAUCCAUCGUAUUCUUCACGCAUCAAUAACUUGAAAUGAGUUCUCAUAACCAGCGGGACGACAGAGUUUAAGUAACGUCUGGAUGCGGCAUAAAUUGUCGUUCUAAUAACAGUGAGCGACAACAGUGCAAAAAACAAUCAAGGCAUGUAACAUUUUUUGAAACAGCAAAAACUUCAGAAUUUUUUUUUUUUCAUUAAAGUAGGAUUUCUGUUCCAUGUUUACCUUAUAUCAGUACAGGCUAAGCAGGGAACUCCUUUAAUAUUCAUUUUGACUAAAUUUAAUAGAGCUGCAAAGUCUUUUUCUCCGCCAGAAAAACGUUCGGCGCACUUAAAACAGAAUUCUGCACACGGCGGAUCGCCGUCAUUAAAAAUUGAAAUAAUAUUCCUCAAAUAGCAAAACAUGAGUACCAUUAGUACUAUAAUAUUACUUGGCACGAAUUUGCACACCACCCUUGAGGUACCGUGAUAGGCGCGAUGCCAAUUGUUUUGAACGGCUGGCUCCCCUUUAGGCGUAUACCAUUAAAAAUUUAAGUUCACUGUUAGUGUGCUGAUAUCUGUAAAAGAAAAGGUUGUAAUUUCGUAUAUAAAGAUAACCACAAGCUUACCAUUGACCAAUAGAAGCAUCGCAUGCGUAUGCUUGUGUGAUAGUCAGACAAUCUUGCGCAAUGAGGCGGUAAUGGGCGGCAUUUGAUUGGGAGCGGCAGUCAACGGGGAAUACAUGUCUCUUUAUACAACACUGAAUAGAAAUAAGGGUAAAAUAGAGAUAAACACAAAUAGGAUAAACACAAAUAGAGAUAAACACAAAUGUGAUAAACACAAACUUACAAUUCGAGGAGAGCGAACCAUUUUCA